rnacentral:rRNA from 1 species
AUUGAACGCUGGCGGCAUGCCUAACACAUGCAAGUCGAGCGGACGCAGGGAGAUCUUUCCUUUCUUGCGUGCGCGUCGGGCGCGUGAGUGACAUGCAUCUGACCGACUUGUGAGGAUGGGGUAACCCAGCGGAAGCGGAGCCAAUACCCGCUAAUAUGUUGAACCUGAGGGUUCGAUAGUUAGAAACGGUUCUGCUGCCUCUUGUGCGGGCUUCGUCGGAUUAGCUAGUUGGUGAGGUAAAGGCGAACCAAGGCGACGAUCCGUAGCGGAUCUGAGAGGAUGAUCCGCCACACUGGAACUGAGACACGGCCCAGACUCCUACGGGAGGCAGCAGUGGGGAAUGUUGGACAAUGGGCGAAAGCCUGAUCCAGCCAUGCCGCGUGUGUGAAGAAGGUCUUCGGAUUGUAAAGCACUUUUAUUAGGGAAGAAAAGACGUGUGUGAAUAAAUGCAGGUAUUGACGGUACCUAAAGAAUAAGCACCGGCUAACUACGUG